rnacentral:rRNA from 1 species
AAAGGAAUUGACGGGGGCUCACACAAGCGGUGGAGCAUGUGGAUCAAUUCGAAGCAACGCGAAGAACCUUACCUGGGUUUGACAUGCACGGAUGCUCUCUUGGAAACAGGAGUAGGCUGCCUUCGGGUGAAACGUGCACAGGUGCUGCAUGGCUGUCGUCAGCUCGUGCUGUGAAGUGUCGGGUUAAGUCCCUUAACGAGCGAAACCCCUGUCGCUAGUUGCCAGCGGGUCAUGCCGGGAACUCUAGCGAGACUGCCGGCGUUAAGCCGGAGGAAGGUGGGGAUGACGUCAAGUCAUCAUGGCCUUUAUGCCCAGGGUGUCACACGUGCUACAAUGGGGUGUACAGAGCGACGCAAGACCGCGAGGUGGAGCAAAUCGCAGAAAACAUCCCUCAGUUCGGAUUGAGGUCUGCAACCCGACCUCAUGAAGCCGGAAUCGCUAGUAAUCGCGCAUCAGCCAUGGCGCGGUGAAUGAGUUCCUGAGCCUUGUACACACCGCCCGU